GUCUAACCUGCCCACUGAAUAAAUUUAAAUGGCCGCAGUAUACUAACUGUGCAAAGGUAGCAUAAUCAUUAGUCUUUUAAUUGAAGGCUUGUAUGAAUGGUUGGACGAGAUAUUAACUGUUUCAUAAAAAUUUAUAAUAGAAUUUUAUUUUUUAGUCAAAAAGCUAAAAUAAAAUUAAAAGACGAGAAGACCCUAUAAAUCUUUAUAUAUAAAUUAUUAGAAUUUUAUAGAUUUUUUUUAUUAUAAUAAUUAAUUAUAUUUUAUUGGGGUGAUAUUAAAAUUUAAUAAACUUUUAAUUGUUUAAAUCAUUAAUUUAUGAAAUAUUGAUCCGUUAAUAGCGAUUAAAAAAAUAAGUUACUUUAGGGAUAACAGCGUAAUUUUUUUGGAGAGUUCAUAUCGAUAAAAAAGAUUGCGACCUCGAUGUUGGAUUAAGAUAUAAUUUUAGGUGUAGUCGCUUAAAUUUUAAGUCUGUUCGACUUUUAAAUUCU
rnacentral:rRNA from 1 species